rnacentral:lncRNA from 1 species
AACCAGAUACUCCGCAGGGCGCAGCUUUAUACGACCGCAGAGGUUGAACCCUGAACGGUUGGGGCAAGUAUGGACACAACAUUCAAGCUGGAUUCAGCUCUAAAUUUGGAUUGUGAUUAAAUAGUUGACACAGCAUAGGUUUCUGACACAGAAUGAAUGUGGUCUAAUGAACUUAAAAUUUUUGAGCAAUUCACUAUGCAUUUGAAUAUUAAUCCUCUCAAAAAAAUGUUUGAAGAAAUUUUCUUUUUAUUUAUGAAAUCUGAAAUGAGAAAAAUUUAACCCCCCCCCCCACCAUUUUGUUUUCACAUCCUCCUUUCCCUUUUUCCAAAACUGAUCUCAAUUCAAAUUUCUAAUGGAGUUUGCAACAAUAACUACUCAUUUAAAUACAUCAUAAAAUAUUAAAAU